UUGAACGCUGGCGGCAGGCCUAACACAUGCAAGUCGAACGGUAGCAGGAAGAAGCUUGCUUCUUUGCUGACGAGUGGCGGACGGGUGAGUAAUGUCUGGGAAACUGCCUGAUGGAGGGGGAUAACUACUGGAAACGGUAGCUAAUACCGCAUAACGUCGCAAGACCAAAGAGGGGGACCUUCGGGCCUCUUGCCAUCGGAUGUGCCCAGAUGGGAUUAGCUAGUAGGUGGGGUAACGGCUCACCUAGGCGACGAUCCCUAGCUGGUCUGAGAGGAUGACCAGCCACACUGGAACUGAGACACGGUCCAGACUCCUACGGGAGGCAGCAGUGGGGAAUAUUGCACAAUGGGCGCAAGCCUGAUGCAGCCAUGCCGCGUGUAUGAAGAAGGCCUUCGGGUUGUAAAGUACUUUCAGCGGGGAGGAAGGGAGUAAAGUUAAUACCUUUGCUCAUUGACGUUACCCGCAGAAGAAGCACCGGCUAACUCCGUG
rnacentral:rRNA from 1 species